AGUGAACGCUGGCGGUAGGCCUAACACAUGCAAGUCGAACGGCAGCACAGUAAGAGCUUGCUCUUACGGGUGGCGAGUGGCGGACGGGAGAGGAAUACAACGGAAUCUACUUUUUCGUGGGGGAUAACGAAGGGAAACUUACGAUAAUACAGCAUAUGACCUACCGGUGAAAGCAGUGGAUCUUCGGACCUUGCGCGAAUGAAUGAGCCGCUGUCGGAUUAGUUAGUUGGCGGGGUAAUGACCAACCAAGGCGGCGAUCCGUAGCUGGUCUGAGAGGGUGGUCGGCCACAUUGGAACUGAGCCACGGUCCAGGGUCCUACGGGAGGCAGCAGAGGGGUAUGUUGGACAGUGGUGGCAAGCCUGGUCCAGCCGUACCGCGUGUGUGAAGGAGGCCUUCGGGUUGGAAAGCCCUUUUGUUGGGAAAGAAAAGCAGCAGGUUAAUACCCAGCUGUUCUGACGGUACCGAAAGAAGAAGCACCGGCUAACUUCGUG
rnacentral:rRNA from 1 species